rnacentral:lncRNA from 1 species
UGUGAACGGUCAACGUGUCAAGCGUUACCUAGCUGAUCAAGAGACACAAGAGGGGUCCUGCAUACCUCUAUAUGAGCCUCCCAGAGCCUAAAAAGCAUAAAAGUCAAGCUUAGUGACUUUAAACAAGCUCACUUGGGAGGAAGUCCCAAAGGUAUCCCUGUACAUAUUAUUUAGGAUUUUUCUUGUGUUUUUUAUUUUUGUUUUUGAUUUUAUGUUAGUCAGGAUUACGCGUUGUUGGAGUUUGAAUAUGAUUAUCAAAGAAUUGCCGGUGAAGAGUCGAGUAUGAGAUAGUAAAAAAUGUGAAGAGGGAGACAAUUAUUUGGUGUUGUCCAAGUGAGACAUAUAUAUAUAUAAAAAAAAAAAAAAAAAAAAAAAAAAAAAAUCUCACUCGGCCGUACCCACUCGACCCAACCUUCUUUUUCUUUCAUACCCUUAUCCUCUCCCUAUCUCUUUCUCCUUAACCACACAAAAUCCUUCCUCUCUCUUACCUCUCACUCGAACUCAUUUUUCUUUCAUACCUCUCAUUCUCUCCGACUUUCAUCAAUCAUCUCACUCGACUGUCGUCUCUCCUCG